CCUUGGACAUUGGUGCAAUAAUCCAGCAGAGUCUCAGCACCAAAAGAAGUGAAAAGUAAAAAUUUGACUGAGAGUGACCCUAUAUAUAUAGGAUCUCUCAAUGGUCAAGAUGAAGGUGAUCAAAUCGAAGAUCUACCAGAUGAUGAUAUGUGGUAACAUCUGAACCGACCAUCGAUCGGAUGGUUCGACGCACCUGCCCCA
rnacentral:lncRNA from 1 species